AACGAACGCUGGCGGCAUGCCUAACACAUGCAAGUCGAACGAGACCUUCGGGUCUAGUGGCGCACGGGUGCGUAACGCGUGGUAACCUGCCCUUAGGUUCGGAAUAACUCCCCGAAAGGGGUGCUAAUACCGGAUAAUGUCUCCGGACCAAAGAUUUAUCGCCUUUGGUUGGGCCCGCGUUGGAUUAUCUAGUUGGUAGGGUAAAAGCCUACCAAGGCGACGAUCCAUAGCUGGUCUGAGAGGAUGAUCAGCCACACUGGGACUGAGACACGGCCCAGACUCCUACGGGAGGCAGCAGUGGGGAAUAUUGGACAAUGGGCGAAAGCCUGAGCCAGCCAUGCCGCGUGAGUGAUGAAGGCGUUAGGGUUGUAAAGCUCUUUUACCCGGGAUGAUAAUGACAGUACCGGGAGAAUAAGCUCCGGCUAACUACGUG
rnacentral:rRNA from 1 species